rnacentral:rRNA from 1 species
GACGAACGCUGGCGGCGUGCCUAACACAUGCAAGUCGAACGGAAAGGCCUCUUUCGGGGGGUACUCGAGUGGCGAACGGGUGAGUAACACGUGAGUAACCUGCCCUUGACUUUGGGAUAACUUCAGGAAACUGGGGCUAAUACCGGAUAGGAGCUCCUGCUGCAUGGUGGGGGUUGGAAAGUUUCGGCGGUUGGGGAUGGACUCGCGGCUUAUCAGCUUGUUGGUGGGGUAGUGGCUUACCAAGGCUUUGACGGGUAGCCGGCCUGAGAGGGUGACCGGCCACAUUGGGACUGAGAUACGGCCCAGACUCCUACGGGAGGCAGCGGUGGGGAAUAUUGCACAAUGGGUGGAAGCCUGAUGCAGCAACGCCGUGUGCGGGAUGACGGCCUUCGGGUUGUAAACCGCUUUCGCUCAUGACGAAGCUUUGUGUGACGGUAGUGGGUAAAGAAGCACCGGCUAACUACGUG